GACGAACGCUGGCGGCGUGCCUAAUACAUGCAAGUCGAACGCUUCUUUCCUCCCGAGUGCUUGCACUCAAUUGGAAAGAGGAGUGGCGGACGGGUGAGUAACACGUGGGUAACCUACCCAUCAGAGGGGGAUAACACUUGGAAACAGGUGCUAAUACCGCAUAACAGUUUAUGCCGCAUGGCAUAAGAGUGAAAGGCGCUUUCGGGUGUCGUUGAUGGAUGGACCCGCGGUGCAUUAGCUAGUUGGUGGGGUAACGGUUCACCAAGGCGACGAGUGAUAGCCGACGUGAGAGGGGGAUCGGCCACAUGGGGAGUGAGACACGGCCCAGACGCCUACGGGAGGCAGCAGUAGGGAAUCUUAGGCAAUGGACGAAAGUCUGACCGAGCAACGCCGCGUGAGUGAAGAAGGUUUUCGGAUCGUAAAACUCUGUUGUUAGAGAAGAACAAGGACGUUAGUAACUGAACGUCCCCUGACGGUAUCUAACCAGAAAGCCACGGCUAACUACGUG
rnacentral:rRNA from 1 species